AUUUCACUGUCAUCUAAGUCUCAGUGGUCAUCUGGCUUAGACUCUGCCCAUUUUCAUCUAACAGGAGAUGAAUUCCUACUACAGCUUCUCUGGCAUCUGUCCCUGCAGCCCCAUUCCCAGCUCCGCAGGGCAGUCACCUCUCCUUCAGUCCGUUGUUCUCCUGGGACGGCAAUUUCCUUGUGGUCUCCCUGAGAGCAGUAUUUGCAAUUGAGCUGCCUGGAAGAAAGCAUCAGCGUUGCUGCAUUUGGGCUGUGGGCUGUGUCACUGCAGCUCCCCAGUGGUUGUGCAAUAUUGGCAAACCCACCGAUCAGCCCUGUGUCUUAGGAGCACUCGUCCCAUCAUCAGCAAUUCUGUGAGGCCCUGGGACACUGGCUGGCUCAGCAGGAUCUGUCUGCCCAUGGCUUUUUCCCCUGUCGGCAACAGCACGUCCAAGAGGGUAAAUUCUGCAGCUCCAUCAAUGUGUGGCCACUCAAGUUAACAAGGCAGCCCACGUGGAUGCUCAGCAGGCAUGGGGACUGUGAUGCUGAAGUCAGCCAGAAAGCCGCCUGGCCCAUUUUCCUCUUGAAGGCGGGGGUAAGGGACGAGGAGGUUGCAAUAACUGAGCUCCUGUCUCCUGUCUGGGCCUCAGUGGGCUCCAAAGAAGGUCAAGAAGUG
rnacentral:lncRNA from 1 species